CAUAGAUUGAAGCAACUGUCAUGCCUGAGGAUUAUCGGAAUAGAAAGGUCUGGAUACUUUGUAAUGACUGCAACGAUACAACCGAAGUUCACUUCCACAUUAUUGGGCAUAAAUGCGGUCACUGCAAUUCAUAUAACACUCGUGCUAUUGCUCCUCCCGUUCUUCCGCAAUAACCAACAAAUUCACGCCGUUCAAGAAACACGUCUAUCCCUGUGAUCCAAUUAUUGUAGAGCAUCAUUUAAUUCAUCAACAAGAUUAGUGGUAUAUUGUGUAUGCCCUUAAACUUUUCAUAGCUUAUUCUUCCUCCAACAUAUGGAGUGGAUUUGUGGAGUUGGUAUUCGGGUCAUCGAGACUUUUAUAAAAAUUUGUAUACUAAAACUAUCAUAGGGGAAAAAGUUUACUCUUCAUGUGCUUCUGGUAAUUGUGUUUUUGUCUUGUUAUUGUUGUAUUGAUAUUGGAGGAUGGAUUAGCUUUUCUUUGCCGUUGAAUUUAAUCUACACAACUCAGUGAUUCUUUCCUUUUA